GAAGAAGAAGAAGAAGACUGUGGUUCAUUAUAUGCAAAUUGUAUAAACAUGAAAACGAAAACAUGUGCUGCUGCUGGGUGUUUGUCAUCCAGCAAGCAAGGCAUUCAGCAUGGGCUGCGGUAUGGGCAGGAAAAGUUGGAAUAUCUUGCACUAUUGAUUCUGCUAGAAGACUGCACAAUAAAUAUUUGUGCAGCAAACAUUUCCUGGACAGUGAUUUCACUACAGCUGAAAGGGUACACCUGAACAGAGUGACAGUGCCAUGUGAUUCAGAUUCUGCUUCACACUCAUGCCCACAAUCUCCUAUCCCUUCAUUACAUAUACCUUCCUUGGAUCCUUUGCCCUCACUUAUAACUCCCACCCCUUACAGCAAGACAAUGGUGCACUCCACUGUAACACCUAUUCCUAUACAUGCAGACAGUCCUUCCACUUCCUCUCAGAUGUCUGCAGUCCAACCACCACCAACAGUAGCAAACACCUUUGCAGCAAAAGAAACCUCUCUUCCCCUAAGCUCUGUAAAUAUAAAUGCUUCUGAUGGAGAACUCGGGCAUAUCAGUUGUCAAAGUUCUUCCUCAAAGCCUAGAGCAAAGCAUUCUCNAAAAAAAAAAAAAAAAAAAAAAAAAAAAAAAAAAAAAAAAACUUCAUUUGGCUUCACUUUCAGAAUUGUCACCGAGAGAAAGGAAAUUAUAUGAACAUGUUUGGAAUAAAGAGAGUGCGCUCUGUAAACUCAAAAAGAAGUAUAAGGGAAAGAAGCUGAAAAAGCUCUGUGAUGUGGACAGUGACCCACUGAUGCACAGUCUUUCAUAUUUCAGUUUAGGGGCUGCAAGACUUUUGGUAGCAAUGUUUUGGAACAUUAGACAGAAGCCUAAUGGCAGGAGGUGGAAUUUUGAUGAAAAAGUGUUGGCUCUGUCUCUCCUUAAACGUAGCCCUAAAUCCUAUAUCCUUCUUCGUUCACUGCUCGCCCUCCCAUUCAGAUGAUCCUUGCAGUCUGUCCUGAAUAAGGAAAAGGAAAAAAGACGACUUACACAUCGUCCCAUGUAAUACAAGUCUAUACAAGAACAACUUUAACAAUGUAGGAAUUCGACUGCUAAAUCAUUUACCACAACAUAUUAAAGAGAUACCAGUACUAUUCAAGUUCAGAAGUGCUUUGAAAACUUACCUACUUAAUCAUUGCUUCUACAAAGUGGAUGAGUUUCUCUUGUAUGGGGCAAGCACUAGCUCUAAUCAAUUAUAAUCACAUAAGUAAUGAAUAAUUGGUUUUGGAAUCGCUACUGCGCAGUUUUCUUUUCC